rnacentral:rRNA from 1 species
GAUGAACGCUGGCGGCGUGCCUAAUACAUGCAAGUCGAGCGAACAGACGAGGAGCUUGCUCCUCUGACGUUAGCGGCGGACGGGUGAGUAACACGUGGAUAACCUACCUAUAAGACUGGGAUAACUUCGGGAAACCGGAGCUAAUACCGGAUAAUAUAUUGAACCGCAUGGUUCAAUAGUGAAAGACGGUUUUGCUGUCACUUAUAGAUGGAUCCGCGCGGCAUUAGCUAGUUGGUAAGGUAACGGCUUACCAAGGCAACGAUGCGUAGCAGACCUGAGAGGGUGAUCGGCCACACUGGAACUGAGACACGGUCCAGACUCCUACGGGAGGCAGCAGUAGGGAAUCUUCCGCAAAGGGCGAAAGCCUGACGGAGCAACGCCGCGUGAGUGAUGAAGGUCUUCGGAUCGUAAAACUCUGUUAUUAGGGAAGAACAAAUGUGUAAGUAAAUAUGCACGUCUUGACGGUACCUAAUCAGAAAGCCACGGCUAACUACGUG